CCUACGGGAGGCAGCAGUGAGGAAUAUUGGUCAAUGGACGAGAGUCUGAACCAGCCAAGUAGCGUGAAGGAUGACUGCCCUAUGGGUUGUAAACUUCUUUUAUAAAGGAAUAAAACGAGGCACGUGUGCCUUUUUGCAUGUACUUUAUGAAGAAGUAUCGGCCAACUACGUGCCAGCAGCCGCGGUAAUACGGAGGAUCCGAUCGUUAUCCGGAAUUAUUGGGUUUAAAGGGAGCGUAGAGGGGUUGUUAAGUUAGUUGUGAAAGUUUGCGGCUCAACCGUAAAAUUGCAAUUGAUACUGGCAGUCUGGAGUAGAGUUGAGGUAGGCGGAAUUCGUGGUGUAGCGGUGAAAUGCUUAGAUAGCACGAUGAACCCGGAGUGCGAAGGCAGCUUACUAAACUGUGACUGACAUUGAUGCUCGAAAGUGUGGGUAUCAAACAGGAUUAGAUACCCUAGUAGUC
rnacentral:rRNA from 1 species